rnacentral:rRNA from 1 species
UCCCGACGGCCCAAGUGGGACUCACAAUUAUUGGGUCUAAAACAUUCGUAGCUGGUUUUGAAAGUUUCUUGUUAAAUUGCGAGGCUUAACCUCGUGGCUGCAAGAAAUACUAUAAGACUAGGGACUGGGAGACGUAACGAGUACAGCAAGGGUAGUAGUAAAAUAUUUUAAUCCUCGUUGGACUAACAAUGGCGAAGGCACGUUACGAGAACAGAUCCGACAGUGAGGAAUGAAGGCCAGGGGCGCAAAAUGG